rnacentral:lncRNA from 1 species
UUGCUUGGGGGCUGCAUACCACCAUUGCUUGGCCCCCUCGAGUCCAACUCAGCAGAAGGUCAAGUUGCAGCAGCUAAGACCAUCUAUGCUGUUUCACAGGGUGGUGCCAAGGAUCAUGUUGGAUCAAAGAUUUUUUCAACUCAGGGAGUUAUGGCAGUGCUUUGGAAGCUGCUACAGGAUGGUCUCAAAACAGAAGACUUGGUUGAUAACUUAUUGACUGGAGCAUUAAAAAACCUCUCAAGCAGCACAUAGGGAUUUUGGUCAGCGACAGUACAGGAUGGAGCAAUUGAUAUGAAGAUUCAGGCUGCAACUGUUUUAGGCUCACUCUGUAAGGAGAAUGAACUAAAGGUUAAAGUUUUGCUUGGGGGCUGCAUACCACCAUUGCUUGGCCCCCUCGAGUCCAACUCAGCAGAAGGUCAAGUUGCAGCAGCUAAGACCAUCUAUGCUGUUUCACAGGGUGGUGCCAAGGAUCAUGUUGGAUCAAAGAUUUUUUCAACUCAGGGAGUUAUGGCAGUGCUUUGGAAGCUGCUACAGGAUGGUCUCAAAACAGAAGACUUGGUUGAUAACUUAUUGACUGGAGCAUUAAAAAACCUCUCAAGCAGCACAUAGGGAUUUUGGUCAGCGACAGUACAGGAUGGAGCAAUUGAUAUACUUGUAAAGUUGCUCACAACUGGACACUCAAG